rnacentral:rRNA from 1 species
UGGGGAAUAUUGCACAAUGGGGGAAACCCUGAUGCAGCAACGCCGCGUGAGUGAAGAAGUAUUUCGGUAUGUAAAGCUCUAUCAGCAGGGAAGAAGAUGACGGUACCUGAUUAAGAAGCCCCGGCUAACUACGUGCCAGCAGCCGCGGUAAUACGUAGGGGGCAAGCGUUAUCCGGAUUUACUGGGUGUAAAGGGAGCGUAGACGGCAUAGCAAGUCUGAAGUGAAAGCCCAAGGCUCAACCAUGGGACUGCUUUGGAAACUGUUAAGCUAGAGUGCUGGAGAGGUAAGCGGAAUUCCUAGUG